GGGGGCGUAGCUCAGUGGGAGAGCGCCUGCUUUGCAAGCAGGAGGUCGGCGGUUCGAAUCCGCUCGCCUCCACCA
rnacentral:tRNA from 1 species